GUCAGACUUAUGUCUGAAUUCUGACUCUAUCUGCCACCUACUAGUUGGGUGAACCUGAGCAUAUCACCUAACUUUUCUGAGCUGCAGUUUGUUUAUCUCUAAAAUAGGAUUAUGAUAAUCUACUCCAUGCCUUAUUUUGAGGAUCAAAAUGAUCAUGUAUGAAGUGUAAGUAUGCAUAAUAUGUAUAAUAUAGGAGGGAAAACCACUUGGCAUAGUGUCCAGCACAUAGUGAGUGCCCAGUAAAUAAUGGCUUGAAAAAUAGAUUGGCAUUAUGCCAGUUUUAUAGGUGAGAAAUCUGGGACCCAGCAGUUAAUUUGCUUAAUGUUGCCCAGCUAAUAGAUGGCAGCCCUUGGAGCUUGAUAUAUAUCAGACUCCCAAGUUAAUAUGCUUUAACAAAUGCAAUUUUGGGGGUCCUGUUUAUAAAACAUGCUCAUUGUAGAAUAAGAAAAUACAGCAUAUCAAGAAUAAAAAUUAAAACCACCCCUAGUCUCACUGUAUAACAGUUUAGUAUAUUUUUAUAUAGUCUUCUAUGUACUUUUAACAUAAUUAAAAACAGUGCAUAUACAAUUUUGUAUCCUACUUAUUCACUUAGUUUUCAUUGUAAGCAUUUUUUUUUAUUAUACUUUAAGUUCUGGGGUACAUGUGCAGAAGGUGCAGGUUUGUUACAUAGGUAUACACGUGCCAUGGUGGUUUGCUGCACCCAUCAACCCAUCACCUACAUUAGGUAUUUCUCCUAAUGCUGUCCGUCCCAUAGCCCCCCACCCCCCUACAGGCCACAGUGUGUGAUAUUACCCUUCCUGUGUCCAUGUGUUCUCCUUGUUCAACUCCCACUUAUGAGUGAGAACAUGCAGUGUUUGUGUGUCCGGCGUUGGUGGGUUCUUGGUCUCACUGACUUCAAGAAUGAAGCCGCGGACCCUCGUGGUGAGUGUUACAGCUCUUAAGGUGGCGCGUCUGAAGUUUGUUCCUUCUGAUGUUCAGAUGUGCUCUGAGUUUCUUCCUUCUGGUGGGUUCGUGGUCUCGCUGGCUCAGGAGUGAAGCUGCAGACCUUCGCGGUGAGUGUUACAGCUCUUAAGGUAGCGCGUCUGGAGUUGUUCGUUCCUCCUGGUGGGCUCGUUGUCUCGCUGGGUUCAGGAGUGAAGCUGCAGAUCUUCACGGUGAGUGUUACAGCUCAUAAAAGGAGCGUGGACCCAAAGCGUGAGCAGUAGCAAGAUUUAUUGCAAAGAGUGAAAGAACAAAGCUUCCACAGUGUGGAAGGGGACCCAAAAAAAAG
rnacentral:lncRNA from 1 species